GACGAACGCUGGCGGCGUGCCUAACACAUGCAAGUCGAGCGGAUCUUCAUUAGCUUGCUUUUGAAGAUCAGCGGCGGACGGGUGAGUAACACGUGGGCAACCUGCCUGUAAGACUGGGAUAACUUCGGGAAACCGGAGCUAAUACCGGAUAAUCCUUUUCCUCUCAUGAGGAAAAGCUGAAAGACGGUUUCGGCUGUCACUUACAGAUGGGCCCGCGGCGCAUUAGCUAGUUGGUGAGGUAACGGCUCACCAAGGCGACGAUGCGUAGCCGACCUGAGAGGGUGAUCGGCCACACUGGGACUGAGACACGGCCCAGACUCCUACGGGAGGCAGCAGUAGGGAAUCUUCCGCAAUGGACGAAAGUCUGACGGAGCAACGCCGCGUGAGCGAUGAAGGCCUUCGGGUCGUAAAGCUCUGUUGUCAGGGAAGAACAAGUACCGGAGUAACUGCCGGUACCUUGACGGUACCUGACCAGAAAGCCACGGCUAACUACGUGCCAGCAGCCGCAGUAAUAC
rnacentral:rRNA from 1 species